CGACCGGGGCGACAGCAAUAUGAAGGUCAGGCUGAAGACCUUACCCGAUUAGCUGAGAGGUGGUGCAUGGCCGUCGUCAGUUCGUAUUGUGAAGCAUCCUGUUAAGUCAGGCAACGAGCGAGACCCACGUCCACAGUUGCCAGCAUACCCUCCGGGGUGAUGGGUACACUGUGGAGACCGCCGCUGCUAAAGCGGAGGAAGGAGUGGGCAACGGUAGGUCAGUAUGCCCCGAAUCUCCCGGGCUACACGCGGGCUACAAUGGUUGGUACAAUGGGCAUCUACCCCGAAAGGGGAAGGAAAUCUCUUAAAGCCAAUCGUAGUUCGGAUUGAGGGCUGCAACUCGCCCUCAUGAAGCUGGAAUCCGUAGUAAUCGCGUUUCAACAGAACGCGGUGAAUACGUCCCUGCUCCUU
rnacentral:rRNA from 1 species